UUGGAGGGCAAGUCUGGUGCCAGCAGCCGCGGUAAUUCCAGCUCCAAUAGCGUAUAUUAAAGUUGUUGCAGUUAAAAGCUCGUAGUUGAAUUUCGGGAUUCAUCCGUUGGUCGGGCUUCACGGUCCGUACUGGUGUGAUGGGUUCCUACCUUCUGAAUAACCGGCAUGCCAUUAAUUUGGUGCGCCGGGGAAGCAGAACUAUUACCUUGAAAAAAUUAGAGUGCUUAAAACAGGCAAGAGCCUGAAUAGGUUAGCAUGGAAUAAUAAAAUAGGACGGCAUGGUUCUAUUUUGUUGGUUUCUAGGAUCACCGUAAUGAUUAAUAGGGAUAGUUGGGGGCAUUAGUAUUCAAUUGUCAGAGGUGAAAUUCUUGGAUUUAUUGAAGACUAACUUCUGCGAAAGCAUUUGCCAAGGGUGUUUUCAUUAAUCAAGAACGAGAGUUAGGGGAUCGAAGACGAUCAGAUACCGUCGUAGUCUUAACCGUAAACUAUGCCGACUAGGGAUCGGAUGAUGUUAAUUUUUUAAUGACUCAUUCGGCGCCUUACGGGAAAC
rnacentral:rRNA from 1 species